GGUGUUUCUAUGGGGCUGAUCCCGGGUCAGGGACUACAUUCCUCCCCGGCCUUGUGACCUCUCAUCUCCUUCAUCCAGUUGGGCCGAUUCUGCAGGCAAAGCCGGAGCCCGUGUCCGUGGACGUGGGGGAAGACGCCUCCUUCAGCUGUGCCUGGCGCGGGAACCCGCUUCCACGGGUAAUCUGGACCCGCCGCGGUGGCGCGCAGGUGCUGGGCUCUGGAGCCACAUUGCGCCUUCCGUCGGUGGGACCAGAGGACGCAGGCGACUAUGUGUGCAGGGCUGAGCCUGGGCUCUCUGGCCAGGGUGGCGGCGCCGCGGAGGCUCCGCUGACUGAACGCCUCAGCCUCUUUCUCCGGGCAAAAGAACCUGAUGCGAAUCCCCGGCAGCAGCGACGGCUGCAGUUCGCGAGGCCCUUAAGAAGAGGAGACAGGCAGCCGCGAGGACCGGGGCCCCAUUGUGCACACUGACCACAGUGAUCUGGUUCUGGAGGAGGAAGGGACUCUGGAGACCAAGGUGAGUGUUGGGAGGGGUGGGGCUCCCUUCACUGUUGGGAGAGGCGGGGCUCCCUUCACUGUGUUUCCAUCUCUCUCCCAUGCCUGUCUCCUCCUUUUUCCUUCUGUUGUCCUCAGAACUGGGACUCAGCUCCUCACCCCACUCCUCCUGCCCCCUGGACCAUCUCACCUAGCUCCCAGCCUCAGUUUGCCUACCUGCAGAGUCUGCCCACACAUCUGUCCCAGCCCCAGAUGGGGGUCACUAUGCCUGUGCUCUCCUCAUCACAGUCAAGCCCCCUUUCAGCCCCUUUAUACUGGCCCCAUAUCUCCCCAAACCUGUCCUUCCUCUGGGAUCCUACCUCAGGACAGCCACAUUGAUUCCAGGCCAUCCCCAGGCCACAGCACUUCUCUCUCUCCUCUGUACCUAGCACAUGCCAUUCUCUUUCUCUCUCUUCUUUUUUUUUUGAGACAGAGUCUCACUCUGUUGCCCCUGCUGGAGUGCAGUGGUGCAAUCUCGGCUCACUGCAACCUCUGCCUCCUGGGUUCAAGCCAUUCUCCUGCCUCAGGCUCCCGAAUAGCUGGCUAA
rnacentral:lncRNA from 1 species